UCUGAGGGUCGUGGUCCUGUAAUCCUUGCUCCGAUGAGGUCAUUGCCUCUUAAAGUUUAUACCACGCACUGUGAGACAUGGCUGGAGGAGCAAGAAGGCAACAAAUGACUCUCUCAGAGCCGGUGGGAGUGAUGGCCGCCCAUCCCUGACAUGUCAGCCACCCCCUCGUGGAUUUUUUUUGCCUCUGUCGACACAAUACAAUCACUCCUUGUUAGCCUAUCUUGCUCUUUCCUCUUUCAAGGAAGG
rnacentral:lncRNA from 1 species